GUAGCGGCGAGUGAAGCGGCAAAAGCUCAAAUUUGAAAUCUGGCGUCUUUGGCGUCCGAGUUGUAAUUUGAAGAAGGUAUCUUUGGGCCCGGCUCUUGUCUAUGUUCCUUGGAACAGGACGUCACAGAGGGUGAGAAUCCCGUGCGAUGAGAUGACCCGGGUCUGUGUAAAGUUCCUUCGACGAGUCGAGUUGUUUGGGAAUGCAGCUCUAAGUGGGUGGUAAAUUCCAUCUAAAGCUAAAUAUUGGCGAGAGACCGAUAGCGAACAAGUACAGUGAUGGAAAGAUGAAAAGAACUUUGAAAAGAGAGUGAAAAAGUACGUGAAAUUGUUGAAAGGGAAGGGCUUGAGAUCAGACUUGGUAUUUUGCAUGCUGCUCUCUCGGGGGCGGCCGCUGCGGUUUACCGGGCCAGCAUCGGUUUGGAACGGCAGGAUAAUGG
rnacentral:rRNA from 1 species